rnacentral:rRNA from 1 species
CGCCUACACAUGCAAGUCGAGCGCACUUAUGAUCUUCGGAUUAUAGGCGAGCGGCGGACGGGUUAGUAACGCGUGGGAACGUACCCUUUACUACGGAAUAGCCUUUGGAAACGAAGAAUAAUACCGUAUACGCCCUUCGGGGGAAAGAUUUAUCGGUAAAGGAUCGGCCCGCGUAAGAUUAGAUAGUUGGUGGGGUAAUGGCCUACCAAGUCUACGAUCUUUAGCUGGUUUGAGAGGAUGAUCAGCAACACUGGGACUGAGACACGGCCCAGACUCCUACGGGAGGCAGCAGUGGGGAAUCCUAGACAAUGGGCGCAAGCCUGAUCUAGCGAUGCCGCGUGAGCGAAGAAGGCCCUAGGGUCGUAAAACUCUUUCGCCAGAGAUGAUAAUGACAGUAUCUGGUAAAGAAACCCCGGCUAACUCCGUGCCAGCAGCCGCGGUAAUACGGAGGGGGUUAGCGUUGUUCGGAAUUACUGGGCGUAAAGCGCACGUAGGCGGAUUGAUCAGUUAGAGGUGAAAUCCCAGGGCUCAACCCUGGAACUGCCUUUAAUACUGUCAGUCUAGAGAUCGAGAGAGGUGAGUGGAAUUCCUAGUGUAGAGGUGAAAUUCGUAGAUAUUAGGAGGAACACCA